UACGAGAGGCCCAAACGUUAUUCGGAAUUACUGGGCUUAAAGAGUUCGUAGGCGGUAUGAAAAGUAGGGUGUGAAAGCCCUCGGCUCAACCGAGGAAUUGCGCUCUAAACUGUCGUACUUGAGGAAGCUAGAGGUGAGCAGAACUGAUGGUGGAGCGGUGAAAUGCGUUGAGAUGUGGAGGAACACCGAUGGCGAAGGCAGCCUUCUGGGCCAACACUGACGCUCAUGCACGAAAGCGUGGGGAGCAAACAGG
rnacentral:rRNA from 1 species